CCUACGGGCGGCAGCAGUGAGGAAUAUUGGUCAAUGGACGAGAGUCUGAACCAGCCAAGUAGCGUGAAGGAUGACUGCCCUAUGGGUUGUAAACCUCUUUUGUCAGGGAGCAACGCCGGCUACGUGUAGCCGGACUGAGAGUACCUGAAGAAAAAGCAUCGGCUAACUCCGUGCCAGCAGCCGCGGUAAUACGGGGGAUGCGAGCGUUAUCCGGAUUUAGUGGGUUUAAAGGGUACGUAGGCGGAGUGCCAAGUCAGCGGUAAAAUCGCGGGGCGAAACCUCGCUACGCCGUUGAAACUGGCGUUCUUGAGUGGGCGAGAAGUAUGCGGAAUGCGUGGUGUAGCGGUGAAAUGCAUAGAUAUUACGAAGAACUCCGAUUGCGAAGGCAGCAUACCGGCGCCCAACUGACGCUGAAGCACGAAAGCGUGGGUAUCGAACAGGAUUAGAUACCCCAGUAGUC
rnacentral:rRNA from 1 species